rnacentral:rRNA from 1 species
AUUGAACGCUGGCGGCAGGCCUAACACAUGCAAGUCGAACGAGUGGCGGACGUGUGAGUAAUGUCUGGGAAACUGCCUGAUGGAGGGGGAUCACUACUGGAAACGGUAGCUAAUCCCGCAUACCAUCAGAUGUUCCCAGAUGGGAUUAGCUAGUUGGUGGGGUAACGGCUCACCAAGGCGACGAUCCCUAGCUGGUCUGAGAGGAUGACCAGCCACACGUGAACGAAGACACGGUCCAGACUCCUACGGUAGGCAGCAGUGGGGAAUAUUGCACAAGGGGCGCAAGCCUGAUGCAGCCAUGCCGCGUGUAUGAAGAAGGCCUUCGGGUUGUAAAGUACUUUCAGCGGGGAGGCGUUACCCGAAGAAGAAGCACCGGCUAACUCCGUGCCAGCAGCCGCGGUAAUAC